rnacentral:lncRNA from 1 species
AAAUUAUUAUUUUAUUUUUUUAAAUAUAUUUUUCUAUUGUUACCAAUUUUUUUAUUUGUCCUUAAGUUAGGGACAAUAAAAGUAUUUUAAUUCUUUGCCCUUUCAAAUAUAUCUUCUAUCGUCGCCAAAUUUUUUUAUUUAACCUUAAGUUAGGGACAAAAAAGGUAUUUUGACUUUUUUUAAACUCCGAUAAAAAUUUAAUCUGGAUUUACCGAGAUGACUAAUUAAUAGAUACUAACAACAUAGUUAUUUUUAAAUAACGAAAAAAUAUACGAGAUAUGUACAAAAAAAGUACUAUCUAGGAGUUUAUAAUAUAUAUUAAAAAUUAUAUAGGUAUAUAAAUAAUUUU